GAUGAAGAACGUAGCGAAAUGCGAUAAGUAGUGUGAAUUGCAGAAUUCAGUGAAUCAUCGAAUCUUUGAACGCACAUUGCGCCCCUUGGUAUUCCAUGGGGCAUGCCUGUUCGAGCGUCAUUUGUACCUUCAAGCUUUGCUUGGUGUUGGGUGUUUGUCUCGCCUCUGCGUGUAGACUCGCCUUAAAACAAUUGGCAGCCGGCGUAUUGAUUUCGGAGCGCAGUACAUCUCGCGCUUUGCACUCAUAACGACGACGUCCAAAAGUACAUUUUUACACUCUUGACCUCGGAUCAGGUAGGGAUACCCGCUGAACUUAAGCAUAUCAAUAAGCGGAGG
rnacentral:misc_RNA from 1 species